rnacentral:lncRNA from 1 species
CCGGCUAAUGUUUGCCACCUCUGUGCCCCCCCCAACUAAGGUGAAUAAUUUUUGCCGGCAAAUUUUUGCCAGCUUUGUGCUUCCCAGCUAAUUAUUUAUGCCGGCUAUUGACUGUGUGGCUAUAGAUGUGGAUUACUAGGAUUACCCAGGUAUUUUUUGCAUUGUUUCGAUCAAGUUGUAGCUGUUUUUUAACAGGUUAAUUCCUUCCUACAUGAUAUCAACCAGGUGACAUCGUAUUAAACUUCAGAAAGAAGUUUUGGCAAUUUGACCUGUUUGAAUCCUAACAAGUGCUUCUGCUGACUCAUGCUAGAUGGUUUCUAGUUUCUCAAUGUGCAACUAUGGUGGAUAUCAGAACUUCUUGCAUAUUUCUGAUUACUGAUGGAGGUCUUUUUCUUUGUUCCACUAUAUAACCAAGGUACCUUUUCCUUAUUCUGAUGACUAACCAAACUUCAUGUUGAAUUGUUUUAAUGUAUAAUAUUGUUCUUCAGACUAACCCAGGUGUUUUUUUGCAUUGUUCCCAAAACUAACCCAGGUAUUUUUUUGCAUUGUUCCCAAGACUAACCCAGGUAUUUUUUUGCAUUGUUCCCAAGACUAACCCAGGUAUUUUUUGCAUUGUUCCCAAGACUAACCCAGGUAUUUUUUUGCAUUGUUCCCAAGACUAACCCAGGUAUUUUUUGCAUUGUUCCCAAGACUAACCCAGGUAUUUUUUGCAUUGUUCCCAAAACUAACCCAGGUAUUUUUUGCAUUGUUCCCAAGACUAACCCAGGUAUUUUUUGCAUUGUUCCCAAGACUAACCCAGGUAUUUUUUUGCAUUGUUCCCAAGACUAACCCAGGUAUUUUUUGCAUUGUUCCCAAGACUAACCCAGGUAUUUUUUUGCAUUGUUCCCAAGACUAACCCAGGUAUUUUUUGCAUUGUUCCCAAGACUAACCCAGGUAUUUUUUGCAUUGUUCCCAAAACUAACCCAGGUAUUUUUUGUAUUGUUCCCAAAACUAACCCAGGUAUUUUUUGUAUUGUUCCCAAGACUUGCCAGGUGUUUUUUGUAUUGUUCCCAAGACUUGCCAGGUGUUUUUUGCAUUGUUCCCAAGACUAACCCAGAUAUGUUUUUUGCAUUGUUCCCAAAACUAACCCAGGUUUGUUUUUUGUAUUGUUCCCAAGACUAA